rnacentral:rRNA from 1 species
UACGUAGGGGGCAAGCGUUGUCCGGAAUCAUUGGGCGUAAAGCGCGUGUAGGCGGCUCGAUAAGUCAGCUGUGAAAGUCGGGGGCUCAACCCUCGAAUGCCGGUGGAUACUGUCGGGCUAGAGUGCGGAAGAGGCGAGUGGAAUUCCUGGUGUAGCGGUGAAAUGCGCAGAUAUCAGGAGGAACACCAAUUGCGAAGGCAGCUCGCUGGGACGUUACUGACGCUGAGACGCGAAAGCGUGGGGAGCAAACAGG